GUGCGCCGCCCAUCGGGCCCGCUCUGCGCCCGCCUCCCUGCGCCCAGGCGGAGAAGACCUCAGACGGCUUUUGUGAACUGGAUGGCAGCCUGGGUGGAGGUGAGGCCUUCAGAGGCCUGCCAGCGCCAGCACUCCGGUUCCACAGGGGCUGAGCUCUCUCCCCACUUCCUUUUCGCUGCCCAGGUUUCCUGUCCUUGAGGACCGGGCCUGGCGUGCCUGGGAUGUCAACUCGGCAUCUCGUGUUUUCUUCUGGUAUCCAUGAAACAGUGACAGGCCCCAGACCCUUCACAGAUCCUGAAACUACUCGUCUGCCUAAGAGAAUCAUGACACUGUUGGCAUAAUCUUCACCUCCUUAUGCUUUCCCUUCCAUGAAGCUGAGAAUGAGGAUGAGUCAAGUAACAUAAUAAACUUCUGAGAAGGUUUCUCUUAGUAGACUAAGAAGCUAAAGAUCAAGAUCUGGAAAGAAUAGCAAAUCUCUUAGUGAAAAAACAGCCA